rnacentral:rRNA from 1 species
CAAAAACAUCGCCUCUUGAUAUUAUAUUACGAGAGGUUGGGCCUGCCCGGUGAAUAACUAUUUAAACGGCCGCAGUGAAUAACUGUGCUAAGGUAGCGUAAUAAAUUGUCUCUUAAUUGGAGAAGGGUAUGAAUGGUUUGACGUGGUGGUAUCUGUCUCAGUAAUAAUAAGGUGAAGUUUUCUUUUUAGUUAAAAGACUUGAAUGGCGUUAAAAGACGAGAAGACCCUGUCGAGCUUGAUAAAAAUAUAGAGUGUUUUUGUAUAAUAAGUUUAGCUGGGGCAGCUGAAAACCAUAAAAUAGUUUUCUUUUUUUUGAAGAUCCGGUUUAUACCGAUCAUAAGAAAAAGCUACCGCAGGGAUAACAGCGUUAUCUUUCCUGAGAGAACUAAUUGAAGGGAAGGUUUGCGACCUCGAUGUUGGAUUAAAAUUUCUUUUUGGUGUAGCAGCUAAAAUAGUAGGACUGUUCGUCCUUUAAAAUUUUACGUGAUCU